rnacentral:rRNA from 1 species
AGUGAACGCUGGCGGUAGGCCUAACACAUGCAAGUCGAACGGCAGCACAGUAAGAGCUUGCUCUUACGGGUGGCGAGUGGCGGACGGGUGAGGAAUACAUCGGAAUCUACUUUUUCGUGGGGGAUAACGUAGGGAAACUUACGCUAAUACCGCAUACGACCUACGGGUGAAGGCAGGGGAUCUUCGGACCUUGCGCGAUUGAAUGAGCCGAUGUCGGAUUAGCUAGUUGGCGGGGUAAAGGCCCACCAAGGCGACGAUCCGUAGCUGGUGUGAGAGGAUGAUCAGCCACACUGGAACUGAGACACGGUCCAGACUCCUACGGGAGGCAGCAGUGGGGAAUAUUGGACAAUGGGCGCAAGCCUGAUCCAGCCAUACCGCGUGGGUGAAGAAGGCCUUCGGGUUGUAAAGCCCUUUUGUUGGGAAAGAAAAGCAGCAGGUUAAUACCCCGCUGUUCUGACGGUACCCAAAGAAUAAGCACCGGCUAACUUCGUG